GUAUUUUCGUCUCAACAGAAAAUCAGUGUAAGUCCUAGAUUCCUUCUAAAUAUGAAAAAUUACCAACAUUUUGCUUUGGUUGUGGAAUGAUGGGGCACGGGCUCACUGAAUGUCUUAAGUCAAUUCCUGUAGAAAAAAAUAAAAUUAGAGAUGAUCUUCAUUUUUCUUUAGCACUAAAAGUAGAAGUAAAUUUUAAUGGUAAGGAGAGUUUAAAGUUUAGUGCCUUUUCAAAAAAGAUGCAGACUCAAUGUUCAUAUACAGAUGGUAUAGAGAAAAUCUUUAAGCCAAUUUUUGAAGAAAAGGGUAAUACUGAUACUGACCAGAAUAGUCAGGAUGGUGCACAAUUCACAGGAAAGGUGACAGCAAUGAUGAUGCAGGAGAGAGCGAUAGUUAGAAAAGAAAACGAGAAUGGGGAAAUCAAUAAUCACGAAGGAAGAUCGAAGCCAAUCAGGAAGCCAAUAUGAAAGAGAUUAGAGACAAAAAGAGACAUGGAGAGUGGAAAUGGAGAGAGUAAAUUGAGAAAGAGAAAAUCAGAGGAUAUAGAAAUUGAAGAUGACAGAAAUAGAAAUUCUUGCGAGUGGAAGCAAAAAGAGUGAAGUUUGAUGACCAAGAUUCUCACAACAACGGGAACUCACUUUUGGUGACAGAAAAUCUCAAGCAAUGUGGUAUUACCAAUCAAGAUAGAUGGACGGCUGCCAGAUGGCAAGUCGACCGGACACAAUGAAAACUACCUGUUGGAACGUUCGUGGAUUGGGGAGUCUACGGGCAAUAAUAAGGCUUCAGUUUUUGCUAAAGCAACAUAAACCCCAAAUGGUUUUCCUCAUGGAGACCAAAAUCGAUGAAAAGCGUAUAGAAAGAAUUAGGAGGAGAUGUGGUUUCGAGAAUGGUAUUGAUGUUGGAGCAGAAGGCUCUAGAGGUGGAAUUUCUUUGGCAUGGAAAGCAGAAAUUACGGUUCGACUAAACAAUUUCUCUAAAAACCAUAUUGACGUGCUGGUAAAAGAGGAUAAUGUUAAUCAAGAGUGGAGAUUUACAGGGUUCUAUGGUUUGCCUUACAUUACUAAUAAGGAUGACUCGUGGAAUUUGUUGAGGAGGUUGGGUCAAAAUCAAAACCAUCCAUGGUUAGUAUGUGGUGCUUUUAAUGAAAUAUUGUAUUCUUUUAAAAAAAGUGAAGGUCAACCGAGGGAGGAAAAAAGAAUGAAAGUUUUUUACGAGGUUUUAGAAAAAUGUCAAUUAAUGGAUGUGGGGUAUUCGGGGGGUGGUUUACAUAGGAAAGAGGGAAUCUACCAGAAAUAAAUAUUAAAGAGCGAUUGCAUAGAGGCAUGGCAAAUGAAAAAUGGAUGCAUCUUUUUCCAAAAGGAGCUAUUUAUCACUUAGCAUACUCGAUUUCAGAUUAUUGUCCCUUACUUAUUAAUACUAAUAAAAAGACAAUUUUUAAAGGAAGCCCAAGUUUCAAGUUCGAGGCAUGGUGGACAAUGGAGGAAUCUAUUGAACAAGAGAUUAAAACUCGUAGGAAUCAUCGAAUGAAACUAUUGUUGAAAAGCUUGGAAGGUUGCAUAUUAGAUUGAUUAGGUGGGCAAGUUCAAUAAAGAGAGGCAGUGAUGGGUUAAAGAAUAAGCUGAUGAAAGAACUUGACGAGUUAAUGGCAAGGGAUAGAGAUGAUGACACAUUGGUAAAACUGAUUGAUACUAGGAUUCAACUCAAUAUGGAGAUUGAUAAAGAUGAAAUGUACUGGGAACAAAGGGCACGAGCCAAUUGGCUUCAAUUAGGAGAUAAUGGAUCCAACUUUUUUCCAUAAACAUGCCUUAGUUCGUAGACGAAUUAACACUAUUACUAGGCUGGAAACGGAAGACGAGAGGGAUAUCUUUGGUGAAAUAGCAAUUAAUAAGGCAACUUCAAAUUACUUCCAGAACUUAUUUUCUUCAUGGGGGAUUGGCAAUUUAUCCCACCUUCUAAAAUGUAUUAAUUCUAAUAUUUCAUCGGAUAUUAAUGUAGAUUUAUUAGUACCUUUUACAGAAGAAUAAGUAUUUUUAACUUUGAAAGGAAUGGGGCCCACUACAACACCUGGUUGUGACGGCUUUUCAGCUUUAUUUUUUCAAAAAUUCUGGCACAUUGUAGGUAAAGAUGUUGAAAAUUUUUGUUUAGGAAUUCUGAAUGAGGGAAGAGAUAUAAACUCUAUAAAUAUCACAGACAUUGUGCUUAUCCCUAAACUACCAAAUCCCACGAGUCUUGUUAAUUUCAGAACUAUCAACUUAUACACAGUUUUAUACAAAAUUAUGGCAAAAGUAAUCACUAAUCGCCUUCAAGGAGUAAUUGGAGAAUGUAUUGACAAGGCUCAAAGUGCUUUUAUCCCUAGAAGGCUACUUACUGACAAUGUGCUUGUGUCCUAUGAACUCUUACAUACACUACGUCAAAAACGAAUUGGGAAAAAGAGGCUUAUGGCAGUCAAACUAGAUAUGAGCAAAGCUUACGACAGAGUUGAAUGGGCUUUUCUAAAGGAAGUUAUGAUUCAAAUGGGAUUUGCAGUGGAGUGGGUGACUUUAAUCAUGAAGUGCAUCUCCACAGUCUCGUACACAGUGAGUGUCAAUGGAAGAAGAUGAGAUGUUUUUAAACCCACCAGAGGGCUUCGUCAGGGAGAUCCGCUUAGUCCUUUUCUUUUCUUGAUAUGCAGUGAAGGACUCUCGUGGCUAAUAAGAAUGUCAAAAGUGGAGGGAUCCAUGAAGGGAGUAAGAGCUAGAAGAAGAGGACUAGAAAUAUCACAUCUGCUGUUUGCAAAUGAUUGCAUACUGUUUGGAGAAGCGACACAUAAAUGGGUAAAAAUUUUAAAAGGAAUUUUAAGAGAAUAUGAAUAGUGCUCAGGCCAAUGUGUGAAUUUUGGUAAAUCGAUAAUUUUUUAUAGUUCAAAUACAACUGAAAGAGACAAAGCAGAAACUUCGAGUAUGUUAGUUGUUCGAUGCUCCACCAAUCUGGAAAAAUAUCUAAGACUCCCUACUGUUAUAGGCAGGCGAAAGAAUGAAGCUUUUCAAAAUCUCAAGGAUAAAGUGAAUACUGUCAUAAGGGGGAAAGGAGGUCUUUAUAAAAUCUAUUCUUCAAGCAAUUCCAACCUAUGCUAUGUCAUGUUUCCUCUUACCAAAAUCGUUAUGUAGGAAGCUGGAAAAUAUUUUCACAAAAUUCCAGUGGCAAAAAGGUCAGGGAAGGAAAUGGAUUCACUAGUGCCGAUGGAAUUUUAUGUGUCGAUCAAAAGAUGAGAAGGGAAUGGGCUUUAGAAAUUUAGUGCAAUUUAGUAUUUCACUAUUAGCUAAGCAGGGGUGGAGGCUUAUUACAAACCAGAAUUCCUUAGUUACGCAAGUGUUUAAAGCUAAGUGUUUUCCGAAUGAUAAUUUUUUAAAUUCUCGAUUGGGGAAAACCGAUUCUUACAUAUAGAAAAGCAUGUGUACAGCGAAGGGUGUUUUGGAAAAAUACAUGUAUUGGAAGGUCGGUACAGGUACACGUAUAUAUAUCAAUACUGAUGCUUAGAUUCUAGAUGCUGUUAAUUUUAAGUUAUCUUCAGUUAUUAAUGCCAUGCAAGAUGUUAAGGUCAAUGAGUUGAUCAACAGUAAUGAGAGAACAUGGAAGUGAGAUUUCAUAAACAAUAAAUUUUCCGCAGAUGAUGCUGGAAAAAUCCUUCGUAUCCCUUUAGCACGCACACCUCACGAAGAUUUCUUGGUCUGGGGAGGUGAGUAUUCAGGUGAGUUUUCGGUUCGCAGUGCCUAUAAACUAUUACAAUAAACUAUUACAAGGUUUGGAGGAAAUUCCUAGAGCUUACACUUUACAAACAGGCUAUAUGAACUUUUACAAAAAACUAUGGCUCCUUAAUCUACCAAGCAAAAUUAAGGUUACAAUAUGGAGAAUCUCAUGGAAUUAUUUGUCGACAAGGGUUAAUAUGCAGUAGCAUUAGCUCGUCAGUAACACAAACUGCCCUCGGUGCGGUGAAAGUGCUGAAACAAUCGACCAUAUUUUUCGCAAAUGUCCUGUCACAGUGGAAGUUUGGUCACUAUUAAAAAUUCAGAAUUUGAUUCUGGUUCCUAACAUGGAUUUUUUAUAGUGGAUUACCUGGAUUUUUGAUCUAUUUUUUAAAGGGCAACAAAUAGCAGACUUCAUCAACAACUAUAUUGUUGAACCUAAUGGGCUUGAAAUAAGAAGGUCAAUUAAGGGAAAGGAAACAAGAAAGUGGAGCUACCCACAUCGCGAAUUCGUUAAAAUAAAUUUUGAUGGUGCGUAUGAUGCGACUCACCAUAAAUCUGCCUCAGGGGUUGUGGUCAGAGACGAGGAAAGGCUUGUCCUUCUUUCCUACUCAGAGAUCAACCACGGGGUAUCUUCCGCAUUUGCAGCCGAAGCAAUAGCGUGUAGAAAAGCGGUCAAAGUAGGAGUGGGACAACAAUGGCCGAAGGUGAUAAUAGAAGGCGACUCCCUCACGAUAAUCAAAAAAUGCACAACCAAAAGUCAAGAUCGUUCACAUAUAGGAGCUUAUAUACACGAUAUACAACAAAACAUUAACAGAUCGAGAAGCUUCUUUUUCAAACGUACAAUAAGAUCUGCAAACAACCUUGCGCAUGUAAUAACAACGGAAACUUUAAGAAGGAAGGAGGAGACGUACCUGGAAAUGGGGGUUCCGGUGUAUGCUGAGAUUCAACAAAGAAUGGAUCAGAGACGAGAGCCAGAUUGAUAACAGAGGGGAAACAGAGAAAUGAAAGGAAAGUAAAGGAAAGUCGGAGAAAUGGUUUUUGAAAGGAUAAACUUUCCUAAAAGCUGAAUCGUUAAAAGAAAAUUGAAAGGUACAUUGAUGAUACGACGGUUUACAGUAUGAUCUGACUGGGCAUUAAUUAGGUACAUCAAUCUAUAAUUUUUGACUGUUUGAUAAAUAUCUAGAUAUUUUCUAAUUAGUUUUUGAGCCUUUUUAGUUUCAGGCCGUGUCUUGUUUAGGUGCUGAUUGGUUUUCUCUUUUGCUUUUGGACUUUUACUAUGUACUUUUAUUUUAUUCAGUAUACAGCCCAGUCUGAAUUCUUUCAAAAAAAUUCAUUAAUAUAAUUCAGAAA
rnacentral:lncRNA from 1 species